UGUCUCCUUAUCAUGCCAUUCCCCUCAUAUGACUAGGCGACCGCGACUCACAUACAACAAUGGCUGAUAAGGAGGGGAACGAACGGACCAAGUACGUUAGCAAAGGCGAACCAUGGUUGACAAGAAUCUUUACAUAAAGCCAUUGUUCUUUAAAACCCUUUCAUUGAAGAUUAGCUAUGGCUGGUUUGUUCAUUGUUGAUGAGUACAUUUCAUUAGAACUUCUCUUGUUUGUAAAUAUGAUAACUUUAG
rnacentral:misc_RNA from 1 species